GCCCCGGCCUCGGCCCCGCCCCCGCCCCUGCCCCGGGGCAGCCUGUGCUGUUCCGUGUGCGCGGCGCAUACGCACCUGGGUUGUCUCGAGCCUGCGGUAGUGGCCAGAUCCCAGACAUCCGAGUAGAUCCCGUGAAAAGCUUCUUCUUGGUUUCUUCGUACAUUCUGGAUCCACCCCUUUCAUGCAUAUUCCAGACCACAUUUCCACUGGAGCAGUUGAAAUGAGAGAGAUGGGAAUGGGACUCACCCGAACCAGAGGAAUUUUUAUUACAGACCCAUUAACAGAGGUGUCAAAGUCACAGGAACAAGGAUGUGCACCUCAGAAACACAGAGGUCAGUGGAAAAUCAGUUUGCUUCUAUUUGUUUAAAAAAUGGGGGACUUAUGCAUAAAUCUAAGACCUUCUUGAAUCUAACAUUCUAAGACCUGUAUGCCACAGAAAGGAGGGUCUCAGAACGCCGGAGGAUAGUAUUUAAAUCUUAAAUAUCUAUAUUGUUCUCCACAGUUACUGGGUCACCACAUAGCAGGCAUUCAAUAAAAACGUGUUUGUUUACUAAGUAAUCUAGA
rnacentral:lncRNA from 1 species